AGCGCGCGCAGGCGGUUUUUUAAGUCUGAAGGUGAAAGCCCACGGCUCAACCGUGGAGGGUCAUUGGAAACUGGGGAACUUGAGUGCAGAAGAGAAAAGCGGAAUUCCACGUGUAGCGGUGAAAUGCGUAGAGAUGUGGAGGAACACCAGUGGCGAAGGCGGCUUUUUGGUCUGUAACUGACGCUGAGGCGCGAAAGCGUGGGGAGCAAACAGGAUUAGAUACCCUGGUAGUCCACGCCGUAAACGAUGAGUGCUAAGUGUUAGAGGGUUUCCGCCCUUUAGUGCUGCAGCUAACGCAUUAAGCACUCCGCCUGGGGAGUACGGUCGCAAGACUGAAACUCAAAGGAAUUGACGGGGGCCCGCACAAGCGGUGGAGCAUGUGGUUUAAUUCUAAGCAACGCGAAGAACCUUACCAGGUCUUGACGUCCUCUGACAACUCUAGAGAUAGAGCGUUCCCCUUCGGGGGACAGAGUGACAGGUGGUGCAUGGUUGUCGUCAGCUCGUGUCGUGAGAUGUUGGGUUAAGUCCCGCAACGAGCGCAACCCUUGAUCUUAGUUGCCAGCAUUUAGUUGGGCACUCUAAGGUGACUGCCGGUGACAAACCGGAGGAAGGUGGGGAUGACGUCAAAUCAUCAUGCCCCUUAUGACCUGGGCUACACACGUGCUACAA
rnacentral:rRNA from 2 species